rnacentral:rRNA from 1 species
AGCGAACGCUGGCGGCAGGCCUAACACAUGCAAGUCGAACGGGCUCUUCGGAGCUAGUGGCGGACGGGUGAGUAACACGUGGAAACGUGCCUUUAGGUUCGGAAUAAGCCCGGGAAACUGGGUCUAAUACCGGAUGUGCCCUUCGGGGGAAAGAUUUAUCGCCUUUAGAGCGGCCCGCGUCUGAUUAGCUAGUUGGUGGUGUAAUGGACCACCAAGGCGACGAUCAGUAGCUGGUCUGAGAGGAUGAUCAGCCACAUUGGGACUGAGACACGGCCCAAACUCCUACGGGAGGCAGCAGUGGGGAAUUUUGCGCAAUGGGCGAAAGCCUGACGCAGCCAUGCCGCGUGAAUGAUGAAGGUCUUAGGAUUGUAAAAUUCUUUCACCGGGGACGAUAAUGACGGUACCCGGAGAAGAAGCCCCGGCUAACUUCGUGCCAGCCGCCGCCGUAACAC